rnacentral:rRNA from 1 species
UACGGAGGGUGCGAGCGUUGUCCGGAAUCACUGGGCGUAAAGGGCGCGUAGGCGGCCUGGUAAGUAGGGGGUGAAAUCCUGCGGCUUAACCGCAGGGCUGCCUUCUAAACUGUCAGGCUGGAGCACAGUAGAGGCAGGUGGAAUUCCCGGUGUAGCGGUGGAAUGCGUAGAGAUCGGGAAGAACAUCAGUGGCGAAGGCGGCCUGCUGGGCUGUUGCUGACGCUGAGGCGCGAAAGCUAGGGUAGCAAACGGG